UACGGGGGGAGCAAGCGUUGUUCGGAUUUACUGGGCGUAAAGGGCGCAUAGGCGGCCACCGCAAGUCGACUGUGAAAUCUCCGGGCUUAACCCGGAAAGGUCAGCCGAUACUGCGGGGCUAGAGUGCAGAAGGGGCAACUGGAAUUCUCGGUGUAGCGGUGAAAUGCGUAGAUAUCGAGAGGAACACCUGCGGCGAAGGCGGGUUGCUGGGCUGACACGUGACGCUGAGGCGCGAAAGCUAGGGGAGCGAACGGG
rnacentral:rRNA from 1 species